UAAGACGAACCGUGCGAACGUUAUUCGGAAUCACUGGGCUUAAAGGGCGCGUAGGCGGGCCCGCACGUCAGGGGUGAAAUCCCACGGCCCAACCGUGGAAGUGCCCCUGAUACGGCGGGCCUCGAGGGAGGUAGGGGCGUGCGGAACUCAGGGUGGAGCGGUGAAAUGCGUAGAUAUCCUGAGGAACACCGGUGGCGAAAGCGGCGCGCUGGACCUCUUCUGACGCUGAGGCGCGAAAGCCAGGGGAGCGAACGGGAUUAGAUACCCCGGUAGUCCUGGCCCUAAACGUUGGGUACUAGGUAGCGGCCUGUCAUGGGGUCGCUGCCGGAGCAAAAGUGUUAAGUACCCCGCCUGGGGAGUAUGGUCGCAAGGCU
rnacentral:rRNA from 1 species